ACAUGGUUUCUUGUGGAAAUUAAGAAAUCUAAUCUGCCCACUGAAUGAAUUUUUGAAGGGCCGCAGUAUUUUGACUGUGCAAAGGUAGCAUAAUAAUUAGUCUUUUAAUUGAAGGCUUGUAUGAAUGAUUGGACGAGGCAAAUACUAUUUUAUAUAAAUUAUUAUUGAAUUUAGGUUUUAAGUAAAAAAACUUAAAUAUGAUUAAGGGACGAGAAGACCCUAUAGAGUUUAAUAAAUUAAAUAAUUAAUUGAGUUAAAAUUUAAUUUUUGAUUAUUAUUAAAUUUAUUUAAUUGGGGUGAUUAAAGAAUAAUUAAAACUUUUUUUUUAAUUUUAUAUUAUGAGUAGUUAUAUGAUCCAUUAAUUAGUGAUUAAAAGAUUAAAUUACCUUAGGGAUAACAGCAUAAUUUUUUUUAAGAGUUCAUAUCGAAAAAAGAGAUUAUGACCUCGAUGUUG
rnacentral:rRNA from 1 species